rnacentral:rRNA from 1 species
UACAGAGGUCCCAAGCGUUUGUUCGGAUUCACUGGGCGUAAAGCGUGCGCAGGCGGUCUGUUAAGACCGAUGUGAAAUCCCCGGGCUUAACCUGGGAACUGCAUUGGUGACUGGCAGGCUUUGAGUGUGGCAGAGGGAGGUAGAAUUCCACGUGUAGCAGUGAAAUGCGUAGAGAUGUGGAGGAAUACCGAUGGCGAAGGCAGCCUCCUGGGCCAACACUGACGCUCAUGCACGAAAGCGUGGGGAGCAAACAGG